UCAGAAACUCAAAGGAAUUGACGGGGCCCGCACAAGCGGUGGAGUAUGUGGUUAAUUUCGAUGCAACGCGAAGAACCUUACCUGGUCUUGACAUCCCGGAGACCCUUAGGAAACUAGGGGGUGCUUCCAUCUGGAAGAAUCUGGAGACAGGUGCUGCAUGGCUGUCGUCAGCUCGUGUCGUGAGAUGUUGGGUUAAGUCCCGCAACGAGCGCAACCCUUGCCUUUAGUUGCCAGCAGUUCGGCUGGGCACUCUAAAGGGACUGCCGGUGUUAAACCGGAGGAAGGUGGGGAUGACGUCAAGUCCUCAUGGCCUUUAUGACCAGGGCUACACACGUACUACAAUGGCCGAUACAAAGGGCAGCGACACUGCGAGGUGAAGCCAAUCCCGUAAAAUCGGUCUCAGUCCGGAUUGGAGUCUGCAACUCGACUCCAUGAAGUUGGAAUCGCUAGUAAUCGUGGAUCAGCAUGCCACGGUGAAUACGUUCCCGGGCCUU
rnacentral:rRNA from 1 species